rnacentral:rRNA from 1 species
UACGUAGGGCGCAAGCGUUGUCCGGAAUUAUUGGGCGUAAAGAGCUCGUAGGCGGUGUGUCACGUCGGCCGUGAAAACCUGCAGCUUAACUGUGGGCGUGCGGUCGAUACGGGCAUCACUGGAGUUCGGCAGGGGAGACUGGAAUUCCUGGUGUAGCGGUGAAAUGCGCAGAUAUCAGGAGGAACACCGGUGGCGAAGGCGGGUCUCUGGGCCGAUACUGACGCUGAGGAGCGAAAGCGUGGGGAGCAAACAGG